rnacentral:rRNA from 1 species
CCUACGGGAGGCAGCAGUGGGGAAUAUUGGACAAUGGGGGAAACCCUGAUCCAGCAAUGCCGCGUGAGUGAUGAAGGCCUUAGGGUCGUAAAGCUCUUUUACCAGGGAUGAUAAUGACAGUACCUGGAGAAUAAGCUCCGGCUAACUCCGUGCCAGCAGCCGCGGUAAUACGGAGGGAGCUAGCGUUGUUCGGAAUUACUGGGCGUAAAGCGUGCGUAGGCGGUUAUUCAAGUCAGAGGUGAAAGCCCGGGGCUCAACCCCGGAACGGCCUUUGAAACUAGAUAACUAGAAUCUUGGAGAGGUCAGUGGAAUUCCGAGUGUAGAGGUGAAAUUCGUAGAUAUUCGGAAGAACACCAGUGGCGAAGGCGACUGACUGGACAAGUAUUGACGCUGAGGUACGAAAGCGUGGGGAGCAAACAGGAUUAGAUACCCUGGUAGUCCACGCCGUAAACGAUGAUAACUAGCUGUCCGGACACUUGGUGUUUGGGUGGCGCAGCUAACGCAUUAAGUUAUCCGCCUGGGGAGUACGGUCGCAAGAUUAAAAACUCAAAAUGAAAUUGACGG